UGAAGAAAAUUUUUUUUUCAGUAUCUGCUGAAGUGAGGUGUCAAUAAGGUGAGUUGAACGCGUGGUACUGUUUACUUGCAAUUGCAGAUAAGAACUAAGGGAGUAGCAGUGGGUGUAGGAGUGUGUCAGUUUCUGUUAAAUUAAUUACUUAACAAAGUAGAUUAAUUUAGAAGCAUGAACACAUUAUUAAAAAAGAUAAUAUUUUUGUCUAUUUUUGUUGUUAAUGGGUAUGAGCAUUUCGUUUCUUUUUUGUUUAAUUACUCUGCAGAUUUCUAUAAUUUUACCAAAUUUUUAAUUAGGUUUUUAUACUUUUUUUUUUAAUUGGGUCCCUAUACGUUAAUUUUUUUUUCAAUUAAGUCCCUGCUGUGAGUAUAACGUUUAAGAUAACAGAAUAUUCUUGGUUAAAAACGAAUAUUCUUAUUACACGAAUAUUCUUAUUAUUUGAUUGGAGUGGUUAGCUGAACAAACAUGUAUUUAUUCAAAAUACCCAAAACACCCCUUUCACUUUAUCCCAAAGAAGAAGGGAGAUGUCACUGGCGAUUGAGAAGAAGACUUCGCCGGUGAAAGAGACAGAGAUGGCAGCAGAAUCUCAGAUCACUGGCGAGGAGUAAGGAGGAGUUCGCCAGUGAUGGUGACAGUGACGACCCAGAGGAUGACAGUGAGAAGAAAGAAGAGGUGACGAAGAAGAAAGCAUAUUUUCUGCUCUGUUUCUGGCAAACAGCAUAGAUGAAGAACAAGAAAUCAGAGACAACGCCAGCUGUGCAUGCAAGCUUCUGGUCACAGAAAAGAGAAAGAGACGAUGGUGAUGGUGGUUGAAGCGGCUAAAAAGAAGAAGAAUGGCAACGGUGAAUGGUGUUAAGAGCAAGAAGUCAGAGGAGCGGCAUAGAAAAGUGAGAGAAGGGCCGUGGUGCUGCUGUAUGCAGAAAAAGCUUUCGGUAAAGAGAGAUCAGAACAGAAAGACAGACGACACCACUGAUGGAGGUUCUAUUUCAGCGAAGAAAAAGUUUUUUUUUUUUGUCAACACAUUUUUUAUUUAUCAAGAAUUGAUUUAUUUACUACAGAAAAAACUGUUCUAAUUUUUUUUUUGCAAUCUGCUCCUGUUUUUUUAUGAAGGUUGAGGAUCUGUUUGUGUUUGAGUGAUGGUUGAUGGCUGUUAGGUAUAAGGUAGUGAUGAACAGUUUCAGGUAUUUUGUUUCUGGAUUAGUGAUAACCGGAUAUCAAUUGGUGUAUGAUGUAUAUGGUUGUGUUUGGUUGAAGUUGUGGAUUUUAAAUUGGGUGCGUGGAUUUAAAACUUUUUAUGGUUUGGGUGGUUUUGCUCUUUGAUUGGUUUUGGUUCGCGUAUGGACGGUGAACGAUGUUGAUGAUGAUGCAAUUUUUUUUUUUUUGUACAAAUUAAA